UACGAAGGGGGCUAGCGUUGUUCGGAAUUACUGGGCGUAAAGCGCACGUAGGCGGCUGUGUAAGUUAGAGGUGAAAGCCCGGGGCUCAACCCCGGAAUUGCCUUUAAGACUGCAUCGCUUGAAUCCGGGAGAGGUGAGUGGAAUUCCGAGUGUAGAGGUGAAAUUCGUAGAUAUUCGGAAGAACACCAGUGGCGAAGGCGGCUCACUGGACCGGUAUUGACGCUGAGGUGCGAAAGCGUGGGGAGCAAACAGG
rnacentral:rRNA from 1 species